UCCUGGUUAGCUCAGUUGGUAGAUCGCUCCACUGGAACUGGAGAGGUCCGUGGUUCGAUCAGGAA
rnacentral:tRNA from 2 species